CCCGCACAAGCGGUGGAGCAUGUGUUUAAUUCGAAGCAACGCGAAGAACCUUUACCAGGUCUUGACAUCCCGAUGCUAUUUCUAGAGAUAGAAAGUUACUUCGGUACAUCGGUGACAGGUGGUGCAUGGUUGUCGUCAGCUCGUGUCGUGAGAUGUUGGGUUAAGUCCCGCAACGAGCGCAACCCCUAUUGUUAGUUGCCAUCAUUCAGUUGGGCACUCUAGCGAGACUGCCGGUAAUAAACCGGAGGAAGGUGGGGAUGACGUCAAAUCAUCAUGCCCCUUAUGACCUGGGCUACACACGUGCUACAAUGGUUGGUACAACGAGUUGCGAGUCGGUGACGGCGAGCUAAUCUCUUAAAGCCAAUCUCAGUUCGGAUUGUAGGCUGCAACUCGCCUACAUGAAGUCGGAAUCGCUAGUAAUCGCGGAUCAGCACGCCGCGGUGAAUACGUUCCCGGGCCUU
rnacentral:rRNA from 1 species